rnacentral:rRNA from 1 species
UAGGGAAUCUUCCACAAUGGGUGCAAACCUGAUGGAGCAAUGCCGCGUGAGUGAAGAAGGUCUUCGGAUCGUAAAGCUCUGUUGUUAGAGAAGAACACGUGCUAGGUAACUACUAGCACCUUGACGGUAUCUAACCAGAAAGUCACGGCUAACUACGUGCCAGCAGCCGCGGUAAUACGUAGGUGACAAGCGUUGUCCGGAUUUAUUGGGCGUAAAGGGAGCGCAGGCGGUCUGUUUAGUCUAAUGUGAAAGCCCACGGCUUAACCGUGGAACGGCAUUGGAAACUGACAGACUUGAAUGUAGAAGAGGAAAAUGGAAUUCCAAGUGUAGCGGUGGAAUGCGUAGAUAUUUGGAGGAACACCAGUGGCGAAGGCGAUUUUCUGGUCUAACAUUGACGCUGAGGCUCGAAAGCGUGGGGAGCGAACAGGAUUAGAUACCCUGGUAGUCCACGCCGUAAACGAUGAGUGCUAAGUGUUGGGGGCUUUCCAGCCCUCGGUGCUGGAGCUAACGUAUUAAGCACUCCGCCUGGGGAUUACGACCGCAAGGUU